AAAAAAAAAAAAAAACUCUUAUAAAACGUUGUCAUUCCAAUUAUCACCUGUUCCCGUCGACACCACAAACCAUGCAGCUUCUUUUCUUUUAUAAAUCUUUUAAUGUAUUAUAAAAUAGGACGCUGCGCAACAGCUAAAGUUAUAGCGCUUCCUUUUUGAAUUUUGUACAGAGAGGUCAUGCAGCAAUGUAUCGCUCUUCUACUGGUCCACAUCCUCACGUUAUGCAAAUUCCCUGGUCAGAGUUCACCAAACUUGAACUUUGGAACGCAGCGAAAUGCAAAAUUUUUCGCAUAAGCUUGCGUUUCCGGUCCGACGCAUUCGCAUGCGUAUGAAUGGAAGUCAAUGGAGAGAAAAGUGCAGUGUGACCGCCCAUCACUCAUAACUAACUAACGGUUGGAGGGGCGCGUUAAGUAGGUUCUGCUCAUGCUGUCAAACUGACGUCAUCAGAAAAAUUAUUCGUUACAGGGUGGAAAUUUUCAGAAUUUGAUAAGAUUGCUAAGACAAACAAUGUUUAAUUGUUUACAUCAAGAUUAGCAAUGUGUGCUAGUAAGCUUAAGUCACUUCGAUUAUGCGUAUUUUAAACUUAACCUCCGAUACCUCAACUUAAUUAUAAAAAAAAAAAAAAAAAAAAAAAAAAAAAAAAACAAUUGGGGGAGUGACAGUUAAGGGGUUAAGCUACAAUCAAGGCUUGUUUAUAUUCGCGCAUCUACUGGUGUUGGUUCAUCACUCUUACUCGGCUGUUGCGGCUUUCACUUUACACUUUUAAACUUUCAGACAGCUGUGCCCUCAGCCAACCCGGAUUCUUCAGUCUGCCCUCCGUUAGCAGACAUAAUACUAAACGAAGUGCUUACGUCAGCUGGAAAUCACAUUUCUAAGGCGUUGCUCCCUCUACAAUCAAACCUACACGUUUGCAUGGUCCGCUUCUAAUGUUUUUCCUUCCAAUUUUUGCGUUCCUAUUCUAAUUUCGACCGUUGCUCCUUCCUUGUCUUAAAAAAAAAAAAAAAAAAAAAAAAAAAACGCAAUCUUAAUUUCUCUAUUCGCAGACUCCUUGCCAGCAUCUAAUCCACGCUAAAUUUUAUAAUCUAAUUUUGAAGCCUUUUUGGUUAUUCAGUUCUAUUACUACUUGAGGGGUUAGCUAAAUCUUCCAACAAAUUAAAGACAAAUGUCUGCAUAUUACCCUGCCCAUAUUGCAAAAUUAAUUACUUCCUUCUGCUACGGCCUUCCUUCGAAGUACCUCAAUAUUCUUCUGGAGGCAGUGUUUAUCUGCCUUCUACAGGUUAUGCUUCCAGGGGAAUUCACUUCAAACCAAUCCAUUUGAUCCUGCUCGCGGCAUUUCCUUCAGAUCUAUGAUUCGGACCAAAAAUUCUUCACACUCUCCUCAAGCACUCAAAAACCGAUGUGCAAGGUUCUGGUGUCACCUUAACAAUUCUAAAAUCAAUAAUCCUGUCCCUUCUCUGCAUGGUGAAAUUUCUUAAAAAUCCGACCUAGAAUUUCUAAAACGCACCAGCUCUAUUUUUCUAAUGGAGCCCCCUUUCCAAGGCUGUUUAGAACUCGCUUAACCACUGUUCUCAAAGCUGCAGUCUUUCUACUGGCCAUUCAUCAGAAUUGGGGCAGCUACUUCAGCAGCUGAAUGAGGGAUCUCUACAUCAGCUGUUAAGAUCAUGGGCAGAUGGUCUUCCUAAGCAUUUGAAUCAUACAUCAGACCUGAUUCAAAACCAUUAUUGAAGCUCAGCAAGCUCUCCUGUAACUAAUCAGGAACCUUAGGAUUCACAACUGGUGGGUAUACUUCAUCUACUUUUUUGGGGGGAAGGCUGGCCCCGUCUGGAGGUCUCAUAAUCCACCUAAUUUUGGGGGUCUGCUGCGCCCCUGCCUUCGUCUUCAGGCAGGAAAUGCAGAUUCGCUACCCUCGGAUUACGAACCAUGGACGGGGCCUUCCGCCAAAGAAAUUUAUAAUUGUGCUCGCUGAGCUGUCAAUAAAUGUAUGCUUCGUACAUUCCUCUAUCUCCCGAGUCUUUCUGGUAGAAAUGGAAGCUUUAGCCUAAGUUCUGCCAGGAAGACUCAAUCACUUCGUCAUUAAUUACCUUCAUCAUUAUCCAAUCACGUCUUUAUACUCCUGUAUAAAAGAUCGUACUUACACAUGUUUGAGUUCGCAGAUGCCAACGCGACAACAACCUCCACCCUCCCCACCACCACCAGGAUGGUCCUGUCCUUACCUUCCAGGGGGGUCUGCUGCGCCCCUGCCUUCGUCUUCAGGCAGGAAAUGCAGAUUCGCUACCCUCGGAUUACGAACCAUGGACGGGGCCUUCCGCCAAAGAAAUUUAUAAUUGUGCUCGCUGAGCUGUCAAUAAAUGUAUGCUUCGUACAUUC